UCCGGUGGCGAUGGCGGAGGGGCCACACCCGUUCCCAUUCCGAACACGGCCGUUAAGCCCUCCAGCGCCGAUGGUACUGGGGAAACCCGGGAGAGUAGGACGCUGCCGGAU
rnacentral:rRNA from 1 species